rnacentral:rRNA from 1 species
GAUGAACGCUGGCGGCGUGCCUAAUACAUGCAAGUCGAGCGAACAGGCGAGGAGCUUGCUCCUCUGACGUUAGCGGCGGACGGGUGAGUAACACGUGGAUAACCUACCUAUAAGACUGGGAUAACUUCGGGAAACCGGAGCUAAUACCGGAUAAUAUAUUGAACCGCAUGGUUCAAUAGUGAAAGACGGUUUUGCUGUCACUUAUAGAUGGAUCCGCGCCGCAUUAGCUAGUUGGUAAGGUAACGGCUUGUCAAGGCAACGAUGCGUAGCCGACCUGAGAGGGUGAUCGGCCACACUGGAACUGAGACACGGUCCAGACUCCUACGGGAGGCAGCAGUAGGGAAUCUUCCGCAAUGGGCGAAAGCCUGACGGAGCAACGCCGCGUGAGUGAUGAAGGUCUUCGGAUCGUAAAACUCUGUUAUUAGGGAAGAACAAAUGUGUAAGUAACUAUGCACGUCUUGACGGUACCUAAUCAGAAAGCCACGGCUAACUACGUG